GACGAACGCUGGCGGCGUGCUUAACACAUGCAAGUCGAACGGAAAGGCCCUGCUUUUGUGGGGUGCUCGAGUGGCGAACGGGUGAGUAACACGUGAGUAACCUGCCCUUGACUUUGGGAUAACUUCAGGAAACUGGGGCUAAUACCGGAUAGGAGCUCCUGCUGCAUGGUGGGGGUUGGAAAGUUUCGGCGGUUGGGGAUGGACUCGCGGCUUAUCAGCUUGUUGGUGGGGUAGUGGCUUACCAAGGCUUUGACGGGUAGCCGGCCUGAGAGGGUGACCGGCCACAUUGGGACUGAGAUACGGCCCAGACUCCUGGGGGAGGCAGCGGUGGGGAAUAUUGCAAAAUGGGCGGAAGCCUGAUGCAGCAACGCCGGGUGGGGGAUGGCGGCCUUCGGGUUGUAAACCGCUUUCGCCUGUGACGAAGCGUGGGUGACGGUAAUGGGUAAAGAAGCACCGGCUAACUACGU
rnacentral:rRNA from 1 species